rnacentral:misc_RNA from 1 species
GAUGAAGAACGCAGCGAAAUGCGAUAAGUAAUGUGAAUUGCAGAAUUCAGUGAAUCAUCGAAUCUUUGAACGCACAUUGCGCCCGCCAGUAUUCUGGCGGGCAUGCCUGUUCCAGCGUCAUUACAACCCUCAGGCCCCCGGGCCUGGCGUUGGGGAUCGGCGGAAGCCCCCUGCGGGCACAACGCCGUCCCCCAAAUACAGUGGCGGUCCCGCCGCAGCUUCCAUUGCGUAGUAGCUAACACCUCGCAACUGGAGAGCGGCGCGGCCACGCCGUAAAACACCCAACUUCUGAAUGUUGACCUCGAAUCAGGUAGGAAUACCCGCUGAACUUAAGCAUAUCAAUAAGCGGAGGA